UACGGAGGGUGCAAGCGUUGUCCGGAUUCAUUGGGUUUAAAGGGUGCGCAGGCGGGAAGCUAAGUCGGGGGUGAAAGACGGUUGCUCAACAAUCGCAGUGCCUUCGAUACUGGUUUUCUUGGGUGAAGUUGAGGUAGGCGGAAUGGAAGGUGUAGCGGUGAAAUGCAUAGAUACCUUCCAGAACUCCGAUUGCGAAGGCAGCCUACUGGACUUUCACCGACGCUCAGGCACGAAAGCGUGGGGAGCAAACAGG
rnacentral:rRNA from 1 species